rnacentral:rRNA from 1 species
GACGAACGCUGGCGGCGUGCCUAAUACAUGCAAGUAGAACGCUGAAGCUUGGUGCUUGCACCAAGCGGAUGAGUUGCGAACGGGUGAGUAACGCGUAGGUAACCUGCCUGGUAGCGGGGGAUAACUAUUGGAAACGAUAGCUAAUACCGCAUAAAAUGGAUUAUCGCAUGAUAAUCAAUUGAAAGGUGCAAAUGCAUCACUACCAGAUGGACCUGCGUUGUAUUAGCUAGUUGGUGGGGUAACGGCUCACCAAGGCAACGAUACAUAGCCGACCUGAGAGGGUGACCGGCCACACUGGGACUGAGACACGGCCCAGACUCCUACGGGAGGCAGCAGUAGGGAAUCUUCGGCAAUGGACGGAAGUCUGACCGAGCAACGCCGCGUGAGUGAAGAAGGUUUUCGGAUCGUAAAGCUCUGUUGUAAGAGAAGAACGAGUGUGAGAGUGGAAAGUUCACACUGGACG